GGAUUUUCAUAAUUCUUGUAGAUAAACAAACUUCUUGGUUUUUGCAUGGAAAUUUGGGCAAAAGUUGAAUUAUAUAAUUCAAAGUGAUCAUUGCAAUGGGGGGGCUUUGCUNNNNNNNNNNNNNGGCUGUAGAUAACGCUCCCGGUGGACGCUUUCCGCAUGUGAAUGGUCAUCUUACUGCCACUGGCUUGGUUUAUCAGUCUGGUGAAUUGAAAAUAAAUAGCAAUACAAUUACAUCUCCAGUUGAGGAGAAUGUUGAAAAUAAGCAAGUAAGAGAACACAUUUCAUUUCCA
rnacentral:misc_RNA from 1 species